rnacentral:rRNA from 1 species
GACGAACGCUGGCGGCGUGCUUAACACAUGCAAGUCGAACGAAGUGGCGAACGGGUGAGUAAUACGUGGGUAACCUGCCCUCCUUUUUGGGAUAAGCCUUGGAAACGGGGUCUAAUACCGACUAAAGGGGGAUGGGCCCGCGGCCUAUCAGCUUGUUGGUGGGGUGAUGGCCUACCAAGGCGGUGACGGGUAGCCGGCCUGAGAGGGUGACCGGCAACAUAGGGACGGAGAUACGUCCCAGAGGCCUAAGGGGGGGAGCAGUGUGGGAUAUUGCACAAAGGGCGAAAGCCUGAUGCAGCGACGCCGCAGAAGGGAUGAAGGCUUUCGAGUUGUAAACGUCGUGCGCUAGCGAGCGGGUAGGUGGAGAAGAAGCGCCGGCUAACUACGUGCCAGCAGCCGCGGUAAUAC